AUGGACCCCGGCAGCUUCCUGACGUUCGACCUUGGCUACUACCAUACUGUGCUCAAGCACAGGGCCCAGUUCCGGUCCGACGCUGCGUUGGUCACCAAUGCCGUGGCACGGGCCGACAUCGCCGGCGUCAUGUCAAGCCCGUCAGAGGUGUUCUUCGAGGUGUUCUCGCGGUCCAUGGCGAGGCUCGGGGCCGUGCAGGUCAAGACCGGCUCUCAGGGGGAGAUGGAGAUCAGGAAGCACUGCGCCGUCGUCAACAGCUAG
rnacentral:rRNA from 1 species